rnacentral:rRNA from 1 species
AUGGGAGCCGUUGCUGUGGUCUGUAGAGACAGCAAUGGAGUAUUUUUGGGUGCAUCGGCAAUCACUAUCAAACAUAUACAUAACCCUGUUACACUUGAAGCUUUAGCAGUACGUGAGUCACUUUCACUUGCGGAGGAUCUGUAUGUUCAGAAAAUACAAGUGGCUUCUGAUUGCAAAAAGGUGAUGGAUGAUAUCAAGCAGGGAUCGUUCGCCGGACAUGCUGCAAUCAUACAUAAAAUCACAGAUCGCUCUCGUUCUUUUACUGCUUGUAACAUUGUUCACGAGUAUAGGAGCUCGAAUUUCAAGGCUCACAAUCUCGUUAGGCAUGCACUUUCUUUAGGGUUUGGUCACCAUGUUUGGUUAGGCCAACCCGGAGACUUGAAUUUUAUUCCUGUAAAUGUUGGGACAAUUUGA